CUCACAAAAAAAUAUUUUAUAUUUUAAAAUAUGAUUACUAUUAAUUUUAAUAAUAUUUCUUUUUAAUUUUUUGGCUUCUGUAGUGAUUCAGAGAAGAAAUUCAGCUGCCCAGGAGAGAAUAUAGUAGAAUCUUCUAUAUGUCACACACCUUUACCUCUCUCUCCUAGCACAGACAAAUAUGCAGGAUAUUCAGUGUCGUUAUGAUAUGAGUUCAACAAUUUAAUAUUAAUAUUUUAAAAUUAAAAUCUAAGUAUAUUAAUAAAGGCAUGUUUGGUUGGCAAAAAGUGAAGCACCAAAAGUAACCAUCUUUAAUCCUAUCAAUAGUAAACGAGCUAUGUUGAAAAGUAACCAUCUUUAAUCCUAUCAAUAGUUGACAUUUUGAAAAGUAACCAUCUUUAAUCCUAUCAAUAGUAAACGAGCUAUGUUGCUACCGAUUACAAAUAUUAUUAUAUUACAAAUAUUUUAUUAAUUCAACUAGUAUAAUAAUGUUUAACUUUUUUAUAACUCAA
rnacentral:lncRNA from 1 species